GCCCGUGGGCACUGAGGGGUCCCCCAGCAGGACCUGGCCCAACUGCCUGCCCUGCCCAGGGAGGGUCUUCACAGGAUCUGGGGUGGCACUGAGGAAGCAGAGGGGGAAAGAGCCCCUGGCGCUCUCCCUGCUUCCUCCCGGAUUAGACGCAACGCAAGAAGCCACCUCCGAGUUCAUGCAUAAAAGAUCAAUGGAAAUGAUUGCUCAAUAGGGUUUGGAUCAUGCUGUUGUUGUGGGACUUCAGAUGUAAAAGGAACGAAAGUAAAGCUCUUCAGCGAGGUGUGGAUGAGCUGCUGUGCGCAGACCUGGUGUCACAAUCCCCUGCCCAAGAUCCACCAGCAGAAGGUGCAAUCGGAGGUCUGGAGCUGUGUAUGGAGAAGGAACGUCGGCACUGCUGAACCGGACGGCCGAGAGCAGCCCCGGCCCUGCAGCCUGAAGCUCCGACCUUGCACCUUCCGCGGGCGAAGGCGGGUGGAGAGGGGCGACGAGCGCGGAGGCAGCAUCAGCUGCGCUGGCCGGCGCAUCCCGUCGUCCCCGCGGAGGAAGGGUGCUGCCGUGCGCGGCGUGUCCGGUGGGUACCACGCGUCCUUGCUCCGGGUUUCCAUCAGCGUCCCGGGGACCUGUAC
rnacentral:lncRNA from 1 species